UAGUCCACGCCGUAAACGAUGUCAACUAGCCGUUGGGCAUAUUAAGUGCUUAGUGGCGCAGCUAACGCGAUAAGUUGACCGCCUGGGGAGUACGGUCGCAAGAUUAAAACUCAAAGGAAUUGACGGGGGCCCGCACAAGCGGUGGAGCAUGUGGUUUAAUUCGAUGCAACGCGAAAAACCUUACCUACCCUUGACAUCCUCAGAACUUGUUAGAAAUAACUUGGUGCCUUCGGGAACUGAGUGACAGGUGCUGCAUGGCUGUCGUCAGCUCGUGUCGUGAGGUGUUGGGUUAAGUCCCGUAACGAGCGCAACCCUUAUCCUUAGUUGCCAGCACGUAAUGGUGGGAACUCUAAGGAGACUGCCGGUGACAAACCGGAGGAAGGCGGGGACGACGUCAAGUCAUCAUGGCCCUUACGGGUAGGGCUACACACGUACUACAAUGGUCGGUACAGAGGGUUGCCAAGCCGCGAGGUGGAGCUAAUCCCAGAAAGCCGGUCAUAGUCCGGAUUGGAGUCUGCAACUCGACUCCA
rnacentral:rRNA from 1 species